rnacentral:rRNA from 1 species
GAUGAACGCUGGCGGCGUGCCUAAUACAUGCAAGUCGAGCGAACAGACGAGGAGCUUGCUCCUCUGACGUUAGCGGCGGACGGGUGAGUAACACGUGGAUAACCUACCUAUAAGACUGGGAUAACUUCGGGAAACCGGAGCUAAUACCGGAUAAUAUAUUGAACCGCAUGGUUCAAUAGUGAAAGACGGUUUUGCUGUCACUUAUAGAUGGAUCCGCGCCGCAUUAGCUAGUUGGUAAGGUAACGGCUUACCAAGGCAACGAUGCGUAGCCGACCUGAGAGGGUGAUCGGCCACACUAGAACUGAGACACGGUCCAGAAUCCUACGAGAGGCAGCAGUAGGGAAUCUUCCGCAAUGGGAGAAAACCUGACGGAGCAAAGCCGAGUGAGUGAUGAAGAUCUUCGGAUCGUAAACCUCUGUUAUUAGGGAAGAAAAAAUGUGUAAGUAACUAUGAACGUCUUGACGGUACCUAAUCAGAAAGCCACGGCUAACUACGUG